rnacentral:ncRNA from 1 species
UAAAAAACUUUGAAGAGAAGAGUAAAUAGAAUUUAUUCAUCUUAGAGAGCUCCAGUUGCUGAAAAGGAGUAUGAUUGAUCUAUUGAAGCAAGACUCUGAGUUUCAUAUCGGAACCAAUAAUGGCGAUGGUAUGACAGGCGCUCCUGUUAUAGAGCUUAAGUAUGUUUGAAAUGUACUUAAUGAGGUUAAUGUGAUGACAUAUUAACAAACUGGGGUGGCACCACGACACGAUAGGUAAACUCGUCCCCAAG